rnacentral:tRNA from 3 species
AGCCCCGGAGCCUUUUAGGGCUCUUCUUUAAAUUUGCAUUUUAAUGUGAAACACUUCGGGACUU